rnacentral:rRNA from 1 species
UACGUAGGGUGCGAGCGUUGUCCGGAUUUAUUGGGCGUAAAGAGCUCGUAGGCGGUUCAGCAAGUCGGGUGUGAAAAAUCUGGGCUCAACCCAGUGGAGCACCCGAUACUGCUGUGACUAGAGUCCGGUAGGGGAGUGUGGAAUUUCUGGUGUAGCGGUGAAAUGCGCAGAUAUCAGAAGGAACACCAACGGCGAAGGCAGCACUCUGGGCCGGUACUGACGCUGAGGAGCGAAAGCGUGGGGAGCGAACAGG